GCCUUCCAACUGAUCUUGAUCGGAAUUCAGCGUGGUCGGUGCAGCAAAUCUUCAUUGGCCGUAUGUUUGAACCGGAGUUGUUAAAACGCAGCAGAUAUGUCUUUCGUUCGUCGACAUUAUUUUUGGAGAAGAAGUCGUCUCAUGUGGGACCCUCUCAUGUGUUACUCUACGGCCCAGAAACCCAAUUAUGUUAAGCCCAAAACACUGAUCUGAAAUAUUUAUUAACAAAAAGAGAAAAGCACAUUAAUAAAUGUGAUUAAGUGAAACAGUGAGUAUCAUCCAACCCGGACACGUGUUGACCUGUCAGGAACCGACUUUAUGAUGUGGCAAAGCAGGAGUGAGGCGAACAUAUUUAUAUAUAUAUAGAUUAGUAAAUUAAAAUUUUAUUUAACCUAUGAUUCAAUUUUUUUUUUGAACAACAACCUAUGAUUCAACUAUAUCAAGAUUCUGGCCCCCUAAAAGACUUUUUGAUACUUUAUAUAAUAGCUAGGGUCGGUCCGCGCUACGCGCAGAAUAUGGUUUAAACGUGUUAUAUAUAAUUAUAUUAUUAUAUAUUUUCAUUGCGUGUGUGUUUAUGUUAGCAUUUGCAAAAAUAAUGUAUAAAUAAUAACGUUAUGUUUUUAAGAAUGUUUGGGUGUGGAAAAAUUAUAUAUACUCAGAUUUAUUAUUGAUUUUGAUGGUUGUGUCUAUAAUAAGAGGUUGCGGAAUAUAUCAUAUUAUAUAGGUUGGAUGAAGUUUACGUGGUCUUCUGAUUGUAUGUUUUUAUAAGGCUGAAUCAAUUAUUGAUUGGUCAAACUUGAUUUGCUAUAUUUUGGAAUCUGAAGAAUGAGCUUGUAGUUUUUAUGCUUAUUAUUUGUAUGAAUGGCAUGGGCUGCAGAGAGUUGCAUUUCGUAACAAUUAUGUAUAUUUUGUGUUAGUUUUUGUCUGUUUGUUUAUAAUCAUUUUUUUCAAUAUCCCGAUUAAGUUGAUUUAUUUAUAAAAUUUUGUUCAAACUGAAAUUGAUUUUUUUUUUAUGAAAAGCAAUGGAGACACUGACUGUGAAGAGAUUAGCAUAGCAAAACUAAUCAAAAUUUAAAACAAUGAAGUGGAAAAGUGUAAAAAGAAAAUGUGUCUAUGGUUAUACAUGAUAAACUAUCUUCAAGAACUUCUCCAAUUUUGCUUGAAAUAUAAACAUUCAGUGCAUCUACUUUCAAGAUCAUUGAGCUUGCAACUUCUUGGUGGUAUCAUGAGGAUUAUAUUUGUACUAUAAGACUUCCUCCUCAUGAUAGGAACAGCAUCGUUUGAUUUAUCUCCAGCACUUGUCCGCUCUGGAUUGUUGGUUUGCCACUUUUUUUUUUAACACUGAUUUAUUAUGAUCUUACAAUUAUGAUAUAGGAAAUAUUACAUAGACGAUUCGACAACCGACAAUACUACCUGCCUUAUGAAGACCUACGCCUAACUGCAGCACCUGAACCGUCCUAUGAAGAUCCACGCCUGACCAGAUUUACUUGCACCAUGUUGAAGAUCUCUUGCAAGCCUUUCCUUUGUAGUGUCUGCAUAAUUGGUUAAUAAACCGCUCUCUCCGGGACUUGAAACCUGGAUUUCCUGUAAUCUGCAAUAAAUUGCAUAGUCUGGAAUUCGAACCCCAAACCUGGGUGUAGAAGCCUUUAAACCUUAACCAAUAGGCUACGGUGCUUCCACAAAGAAAGUUACCUUUAGCAUAUUGGUUGGUGGCAGAGAGCUUGAGAUGUUUUAGGCCUUGUUGGGCUUGUUCGACGCAAAAUAUUGCUUGAUUCCUCCAAUAUAAUGCACUUCACCAUUUUCAUGGUUGAAGCAAACUUCCAUCUCUUUCUAUAUAUAAAAUCUUGUUAUUUUGUGAUUAUAAAUAAUCUAAAAAACACGGCUGGGCUUUUAUAUUACUUUCAAUUUUUAUAUAUCUAAAUGAAUAAAGGUUACAAUAUUUUAUAUUUAUUUUGAAUUUAUUUAUAUAUUAAUAUAAUUAAUUAAAAAAAAAACUGGUGAAAACUGUUUUAAAUUUUAUAGAAAUUCAUAUUCAUUUUUAAUAUUUAGUAUAUAGACUUAUAAAAAAAAGAUGUUGUAUAUAUAUAUUAUUACAUAAAAUAUAAGUUUAGAAUGGUGAAGUAUCAAAUUUUGCUCUUUUUUGAUGAUUUAGUGCAACAUAAAAUAUAAGUUUAGAAUGGUGAAGUAUCAAAUUUUGCUCUUUUUUUACGAUUUGGCUGGACUAUAUGUAUAGAUGUCAAAUACAAAUUUUAGAGAAAAAUAAAUAUCUAAGUGGGAGAAAUUUUAUCAAAGAAAAUAGGUGAUAAAUAGUAAAAAGUAUUUUCUCUUCUUACCGUUAGUCUCAAAUCAAUCGUUGAACUUUUAUAUUGUUGAAACCUGAUAUUUUUUGUUUACCAAAUUUGUAUCUUUUUAAGUUUUUAUACAUUGGAUCUAUUUAAAUAUGUAUUCUUGGCCCAUCUAAGUUACAGAAGUCCAUCGAACAAUAAUAAACCUAAUAUGUAAUUAAACUAACCCACCAUUAAAUAGAAAAAAACCCUAGAUUAAACAUUAUAGUCUGCGGUAUUGAAUCUUUUUCUUUCUCAGCCGCACAAAACAACAUCUCCUAUGCUCGCCGUCAUACAUCUCUGUGGAGGAAUAACGUCAUGCUCAUGCUCGUUGAGGAAGUGCUGAGAGAUGUGAGAUAACUUUGAAGAUGAUGCUAAAGGGAUGAAUCCUUACUUAUUUAUAGGUGAGAAUGACCGCCUGAAUGAACAAUAAGAAUCAGUGAAUGCAAGAUCGUGGUUUUAGAGGCCAUUAAUGAUAAUCAAUUCGAUUUGUAACUGUUGGAGGUGAAGAACAGAGACCGAAACGACAUGAACAGAGACGGCUUGGAAGUUACUGUCAAAGCGCCGGACCAACAUGCAAUUUCAGAGACGGCCUAGCAUUUGGUUGGAUAGCGGCCCAGAGAGAAUUAUCCAUAUUAGAGUGUCUCGUGGAAGCCCAUUUUUAAAAGACACAGUAGAGUGGAUGCAAUAAAAACGCAUGGAAACGGUGAGUUUUGUAUGUUGGGACAGGUGUCACGUUCACAGAGCUUGACUUUUUGAGCUGGCUGCUGAGGUGGCGCGUCCAGGAGAGAGAUAACUCUACUUUAUAUAUAAAGAUGUACAAUUUCCUAACAAUAAUAAAUAUAUAUAUAUAUAUAUAUAUAUAUAUCUACAUGUUUCUUUAUUAAAAAUCUUCCUAUCCUUAUUCAUAUGAUUUGCUCUCUUCCUUAGACAAAAACAUAUCUCCCAUGGAACUGAGUUUGCCAUUUAUAGUUUGCCUUCGGUUUUGCAUGGAACGGGAUUAGUUUCGUCGGUUUGUAUUUGUUUAUUUUAAAACCGGUCUGAUCAAACCAAUAAUACAGGAAUCGAACGGCUUUCGCCUUUAGUUACCCUAAUUUAGGGUUUUUUAUUUAAUGCUAUAACACAAGUUCUCCUUCUAAUUUCGUGUUCCAAUGUUUGUGAGAGUUAAAGUCAUUUUGCUUGUCUAAUUAGUUUUGGUUUAAAAUUUUCAGUUUUUCAGCAUCAAAACCUGGUUUGAGUGGCUUCUUAAUUAGCUUUUCAUAUACAUGAGUAAACAAACGCAAGACAAGGAUUGCUAAAAGUGGGUUAACUUUGACCAAGCAGCCAAUAUGGCCUCAUCUUCUUCACCAUAACUUGGUUCUUCUUCUCUACCCUCAGUGACCUUUGAACAAUGGUGGAUUCGUAAACUUUAUCGAACGCCUUCUCUCAUCACGAACUUCAUUUUGAUCAAACCGGUUCAUCUUGAUACCGGUUAUGCUAUCCGGUUCAAUAACCGAUCUAUGAAUUUGAGGUUAUCUAAGGCUUAGCUUUUCCUUAGUGGUUUCAAGCUAUUGUUUUAAUGUUUCGAGAAGCUAAGACAAAACAUUGUUUUCUUCUAUGGCUCUUAUUUAACAGACCGGAAUGGAGCUUUUUUAGUUGUAUGCGUUUGUGGUGUCCAUCAGUCUAUGCCAUGACAAACCUUAUAUCAAAUUACUUAUAAAGAAAAUCAUCACCCAAUUAACUGUUGUUGUUAAAACGGAUGGUGGCAACUGAUAAAUUUUGUAUAACUGACUACGUUAUGAUUAGAUUAUGUGAUGGUUCCACUAUAUUCUGGGAUUUCAUUUUUAAAAAUAAUCUGAAGUUGUUAACUUUUUCAUUGUGCUUGCUUUUAUUUUACUCUAUUAGAAAAAGAAAAUAUAGGUUUAAAAAUGUAUGUGUUGGGCGGCGUUUACUACACACAAA